CCUACCUCUACAAGCUUCUCCAAAGGAACCACGGAGUUCCCUCUAGCUGUGCUGCUCAGAACCACCUUGCCAUGCCUACGGGGCAACUCUUGUACCUCAGAGUACCCCUCAGGCAGAGAAAAGAGGGUCCGAGAGCCACUAUGUGGACACAGGGACCUGCAGGCAGCCAGCUGGUGCUGUUAGCUGCACCAGCAGCAGUCCAUGAGAUACCUGCGAGUGCACGGGGAGUCUGGGGUAGCAUGCUGCUGCGUACGGGUGGACAGUGUUACUCUGAGCAUUUAUUGCACUGCUUCAAAGAGGUGGAGGAGGAACAGGAGGGAGAGAAAGCGCAGGUCAUCGUUUCACUUUCGAGUCUUCUUUGAUCUUCCAGAUCAUCAGCUCCAUGCAAGCUCUGGCGUCCUCGCUGGAGUCGUGUCCUUCCACGUUGUCCUGGAUGAUGCGCUUG
rnacentral:lncRNA from 1 species